rnacentral:rRNA from 1 species
AUACGUAGGGUGCGAGCGUUAUCAGGAAUCAUUGGGCGUAAAGAGCUCGUAGGCGGUUCAGCAAGUCGGCUGAGAAAGUUCGAGGCUCAACCUCGAAAUUGCAGUCGAUACUGCUGUGACUCGAGUCCGGUAGAGGAGAAUGGAAUUCUCGGUGUAGCGGUGAAAUGCGCAGAUAUCGAGAGGAACACCAGUAGCGAAGGCGGUUCUCUGGGCCGGCACUGACGCUGAGGAGCGAAAGCGUGGGGAGCAAACAGGAUUAGAAACCCCAGUAGUCC